AUAUUAUGACUAAGCUGUUUACAUGGCUAAUGAAGGUGAAUAUUCCACUAAUAUUCUCGUUAACAUGUAGUCGUGCAAAAUAUGAUUUUUUCAAAGUUU